AAAGUGCGCUGGCAACGCAAAGAUGUUAGUAAACAUGAAAUUGCACAGAUAAUCGCUGGUGCCACGUUCUAUCUUUGCUGUUUUUUUCCGUCGAGAAGCAGAAGUGUGUGUACGUACCUCGGUACCUAUUUCUGAUCUGGUGGUUUCUUUUUUGGAGAAUAAAAGAACAACACCGAAUUUCUCGAAGUACGAGAUGUACUUCUUGAACUGGUGGGUGCAAAUGCAUCCGUUCCUGAAAAUAAGAAAUCCGACGGCUGCAGCUUAAAAGAGGCGCAAUUUAAUUCCACUCUUGGUGUGACAAAAAGAUCCUGUGACAGGCUGAAAACCUGUUAUGAAAAUAUGAAAAGAAGACUUCGAAAAUACAUUGCAGAAGAAAAGGUGGAAGUGUAUAAAACAGGUGGGGGGAAGCGUACCCAAAAAACAACGAUCCAUGAUCGGGCUAAACUAUUAGAAGUUGUUGGUUCCUCAUUGAAACCGUUAACAAUUGCAUAUGGUUCCGAUGCACAGUUUAGCAUGAUUGUGGAUGUUAGCAACAUGGAGAGCAGUUCAGUGCAGUGAGAACACGCCACCUGCUUCAGUUGUCGAGUUGGCAGAAUGCACACAACCUAGCACUUCCCACACUCCUGUCGUAAUACAAAUUAAGGAGACACCAAAUAAUGUUCUGGUGGAUGUCACCCAGCUGCAGUCUGUUUCACAGUCUCCUGAUCAACCCGACGAAAGCAGUUGCACGCCUAAAAAUACAUGGCAUUGUCGCAGGAUGCCUGCAAAACCAAGGCCAUCGGGUUCGGGAACAGUGAUUGACAAUGUGUGCAAGAAGAGAGUGGAACUACUGGAGGCCCAAUUACUCAUGAUGAAGGCAAAGCACCAAAAGCAGCAGAGGAUAAAAAAUUUAAUGAUUCUGGCCCUGAAAGAAAAGCUAAAGUACUGGAAGAAGAAAAAUGCCAGUGACAUGUGACUCUUUUCCCUGUGACAGUGAAUUUUUUGUGCUAUGUUGUAUUUUGUCCAAUGUAUUAAAGUUGUCUCACAGUUCAAA